rnacentral:rRNA from 1 species
GACGAACGCUGGCGGCGUGCCUAAUACAUGCAAGUAGAACGCUGAAGAGAGGAGCUUGCUCUUCUUGGAUGAGUUGCGCACGGGUGAGUAACGCGUAGGUAACCUGCCUUGUAGCGGGGGAUAACUAUUGGAAACGAUAGCUAAUACCGCAUAACAAUGGAUGACACAUGUCAUUUAUUUGAAAGGGGCAAUUGCUCCACUACAAGAUGGACCUGCGUUGUAUUAGCUAGUAGGUGAGGUAAUGGCUCACCUAGGCGACGCUACAUAGCCGACCUGAGAGGGUGAUCGGCCACACUGGGACUGAGACACGGCCCAGACUCCUACGGGAGGCAGCAGUAGGGAAUCUUCGGCAAUGGGGGCAACACUGACCGAGCAACGCCGCGUGAGUGAAGAAGGUUUUCGGAUCGUAAAGCUCUGUUGUAAGUCAAGAACGGGUGUGAGAGUGGAAAGUUCACACUGUGACGGUAGCUGACCAGAAAGGGACGGCUAACUACGUG